ACUCCUACGGGAGGCAGCAGUGGGGAAUAUUGGACAAUGGGGGCAACCCUGAUCCAGCCAUGCCGCGUGAGUGAAGAAGGCCCUAGGGUCGUAAAGCUCUUUCAACUGUGAAGAUAAUGACGGUAGCAGUAGAAGAAACCCCGGCUAACUCCGUGCCAGCAGCCGCGGUAAUACGGAGGGGUUAGCGUUGUUCGGAAUUACUGGGCGUAAAGCGCACGUAGGCGGACUAUUAAGUUAGAGGUGAAAUCCCAGGGCUCAACCCUGGAACUGCCUUUAAUACUGGUAGUCUUGAGUUCGAGAGAGGUGAGUGGAAUUCCGAGUGUAGAGGUGAAAUUCGUAGAUAUUCGGAGGAACACCAGUGGCGAAGGCGGCUCACUGGCUCGAUACUGACGCUGAGGUGCGAAAGUGUGGGGAGCAAACAGGAUUAGAUACCCUGGUAGCUCGAUGU
rnacentral:rRNA from 1 species